rnacentral:lncRNA from 1 species
GCAGUUUUAAGAAACAAAUAAGUGUUGAGAAAGUAUUUACUAAAUAAAAUGAACUAAACAAUAAAUAAAUACAAAUUAAAAAAAAUAAGAAAACAGAAAAAUAACAAAUAAUUAAAAAGCAACAAUAAAAUAACAGUAACAAGGCUAUAUACAGGGGGUACCAGUACAGAGUCAAUGUGGAGGUUAUAUACAGGGGGUACCGGUACAGAGUCAAUGUGGAGGCUAUAUACAGGGGGUACCGGUACAGAGUCAAUAUGGAGGCUAUAUACAGGGGGUACCGGUACAGAGUCAAUGUGGAGGUUAUAUACAGGGGGUACCGGUACAGAGUCAAUGUGGAGGCUAUAUACAGGGGGUACCGGUACAGAGUCAAUGUGGAGGUUAUAUACAGG